rnacentral:rRNA from 1 species
AUUGAACGCUGGCGGCAUGCCUUACACAUGCAAGUCGAACGGCAGCACGGGAGCAAUCCUGGUGGCGAGUGGCGAACGGGUGAGUAAUAUAUCGGAACGUGCCCAGUCGUGGGGAUAACGUAGCGAAAGCUACGCUAAUACCGCAUACGAUCUAUGGAUGAAAGCGGGGGAUCGCAAGACCUCGCGCGAUUGGAGCGGCCGAUAUCAGAUUAGGUAGUUGGUGAGGUAAAGGCUCACCAAGCCGACGAUCUGUAGCUGGUCUGAGAGGACGACCAGCCACACUGGGACUGAGACACGGCCCAGACUCCUACGGAGGCAGCAGUGGGGAAUUUUGGGACAAUGGGCGCAAGCCUGAUCCAGCAAUGCCGCGUGCAGGAUGAAGG